rnacentral:rRNA from 1 species
UACGUAGGGUGCGAGCGUUAAUCGGAAUUACUGGGCGUAAAGCGUGCGCAGGCGGCGCCGCAAGUCAGGCGUGAAAUCCCCGAGCUUAACUUGGGAAUGGCGCUUGAAACUACGGUGCUGGAGUGUGGCAGAGGGAGGUGGAAUUCCAGGUGUAGCGGUGAAAUGCGUAGAUAUCUGGAGGAACACCGGUGGCGAAGGCGGCAUCCUGGACCGGCAUUGACGCUGAGGCGCGAAAGCCAGGGGAGCAAACGGG